rnacentral:lncRNA from 1 species
CAGGAGUUCGAGACCAGGCUGGCCAACAUGGUGAAACCCCAUCUCUACUAAAAAUACAAAAAUUAGCUGGGUGUGGUGGCGCGCACCUGUAGUCCCAGCUACUCAGGAGGCUGAGGUAGAAGAAUAGCUGGAACCCAGGAGGCAGAGAUUGCAGUCAGCCGAGAUUGCACCACUGCACUCCAGCCUGGGAGACAGAGCAAGACUGACUCAAAAGAAAAAAAAUGACAGAAGCCUGAUUAUCAGACUGCCCGGAGGAGACAGGCUCCAGCAGAUAGAUGCCAGCCAGGCCCAGCUGCCACGAUUUGUCCCAGGUGACCAAAGGCACGCAGCUCCAGCAUGAAUCGUUCUAACCCAACAGUGACAAGAACUGCUGGGCCUUAACCGUCAUGGAAGACUGGGGCCGCUUCCAAGUCACAGACAGGAGACGGGGACAGGAAAGAACUCAUUCCACCCAAUCGGACACCUAAUAAUUGAGUGUCUACAGCAGCAAUCAAGUGACAAGUGAGGCCCUACCUGACCCAGAAGGUGCCUGCCGGCUAAACAUUCUGCCCCCACCAGAAACUCCAGGGGGUCCGCCCGUUAUGCCGUGGCCCACCCACGCCCCUUUGGAUCACCAGCAGUCACAGACAACAGGCAGGCGAAACUGAAGACCCCAACUCAGCCCCAGCGGACCCUCCAGAGCAAAAGAGGCCCCCGGCGAGGCCACCUGUCGGCAGGCAUGCCGAGGUCAAACAGCCGGGGCCACCGUUCCCAGCUGGGCCACGACCUGCACCGUCCACAGAUGGGCUUUGAGAUGGAUUUGUAUCAGGGUGGGGGGUGUGGUUUGGCCAAAAUGCAAUGGACCCCGACCCCUCCUCGUAAAAGGAUGUUGGGUUUCCCUCUGGUGACACAUGGGAUGCGUCAUAAACCCUCCCCCAAAGUCCUGGUCAGCAGCCCAUCCUUCCAACGAUGAGUUUUGCGGUUUUUCAGAACAGAAAUGAUCACUACGAUUGACGACGGUCGUGAUGUUAAGACGUCGUCUCCAUGAGCUUUGGGGGGACUUUUAUGUGGAAUAAAGAAACUAUCACUGAGAA